rnacentral:rRNA from 12 species
UAAAAUGACUCUCGGCAACGGAUAUCUCGGCUCUUGCAUCGAUGAAGAACGUAGCAAAAUGCGAUACUUGGUGUGAAUUGCAGAAUCCCGUGAACCAUCGAGUCUUUGAACGCAAGUUGCGCCUGAAACCAUUAGGUUGAGGGCACGUCUGCCUGGGUGUCACAC